CCUACGGGAGGCAGCAGUGAGGAAUAUUGGACAAUGGGCGCAAGCCUGAUCCAGCCAUGCCGCGUGCAGGAUGACGGUCCUAUGGAUUGUAAACUGCUUUUGCACAGGAAGAAACAACAUUACGUGUAAUGUCUUGACGGUACUGUGAGAAUAAGGAUCGGCUAACUCCGUGCCAGCAGCCGCGGUAAUACGGAGGAUCCAAGCGUUAUCCGGAAUCAUUGGGUUUAAAGGGUCCGUAGGCGGUUUAGUAAGUCAGUGGUGAAAGCCCAUCGCUCAACGGUGGAACGGCCAUUGAUACUGCUAGACUUGAAUUAUUAGGAAGUAACUAGAAUAUGUAGUGUAGCGGUGAAAUGCUUAGAGAUUACAUGGAAUACCAAUUGCGAAGGCAGGUUACUACUAAUGGAUUGACGCUGAUGGACGAAAGCGUGGGUAGCGAACAGGAUUAGAUACCCUGGUAGUCCACGCCGUAAACGAUGGAUACUAGCUGUUGGGAGCAAUCUCAGUGGCUAAGCGAAAGUGAUAAGUAUCCCACCUGGGGAGUACGUUCGCAAGAAUGAAACCUNAAANGAAUUGACGNNGAGAGAGCGAGGACGACGACGAGGGGAGGAGG
rnacentral:rRNA from 1 species